rnacentral:rRNA from 1 species
UGGGGAAUUUUGGACAAUGGGCGAAAGCCUGAUCCAGCAAUGCCGCGUGUGUGAAGAAGGCCUUCGGGUUGUAAAGCACUUUUGUCCGGAAAGAAAUCCUUGGCUCUAAUACAGUCGGGGGAUGACGGUACCGGAAGAAUAAGCACCGGCUAACUACGUGCCAGCAGCCGCGGUAAUACGUAGGGUGCAAGCGUUAAUCGGAAUUACUGGGCGUAAAGCGUGCGCAGGCGGUUUGCUAAGACCGAUGUGAAAUCCCCGGGCUCAACCUGGGAACUGCAUUGGUGACUGGCAGGCUAGAGUAUGGCAGAGGGGGGUAGAAUUCCACGUGUAGCAGUGAAAUGCGUAGAGAUGUGGAGGAAUACCGAUGGCGAAGGCAGCCCCCUGGGCCAAAUACUGACGCUCAUGCACGAAAGCGUGGGGAGCAAACAGGAUUAGAUACCCUGGUAGUCCACGCCCUAAACGAUGUCAACUAGUUGUUGGGGAUUCAUUUCCUAGUAACGUAGCUAACGCGUGAAGUUGACCGCCUGGGGAGUACGGUCGC